rnacentral:lncRNA from 1 species
GCAGCUACGGGCAAGAUGGAGGCGCUGAUUUUGGAGCCCUCCCUGUACACUGUCAAGGCCAUCCUGAUUCUGGACAAUGACGGAGACCGACUCUUCGCCAAGUACUAUGACGACACCUACCCCAGUGUCAAGGAGCAAAAAGCCUUUGAGAAGAACAUUUUCAACAAGACCCAUCGGACGGAUAGUAGGUCAUUCUGCACCAUUCUCUGUGUUUCGGGGAACCACAGGAAGGGGGUGUCAGCAGGACUAGAAAAAAAGAUAAAAUGACUCGGCCUCCUCUUUUUUUUUCCUCCUCCCCUCAUAUAAUAAACUCUUCAGAAAUGUAAUGGGGAGGUGAGUGUACCUCACACGGGAAUACCAUGGUAGAAGCUUGGCUGUUAGCUACCUGUCUAGUCCCUGGAUUUAUGAGCCUCACUUGACAAAUUUAACUGCAGCUCUGCUUAUUGUACCGCAUCCAUUAGGGCAGGUAAAUGGAAGCCUGUAAAGGUGACCGCUCUGCGUUUUUACCUCCGAAGGAUCGGCUGCUACCCUGCCUCAUACGCAGGGAGGGAAGUAGGUGCAGUGGGGGAGGGAGAACCAGAGAACAGAGACUCCCCUGAGUUUCUGAGUCCCUUCUGCCUACCCCUCGAAACAAUAAAUAGCUUCAGUGCUUGGAGGUCAUUACAGUUGGCCUUUCCUUGGCCCAGGCAGCUGGCCCCGGGAUUUCAUGGGAACUCCUGUUCUGCCACCUCUUCUCCCACCAUUCAGUUUCUGCUUUCUUCCCCCAGGUGAAAUCGCCCUGUUGGAAGGGCUGACAGUGGUCUAUAAAAGCAGCAUUGAUCUCUAUUUCUAUGUGAUCGGCAGCUCCUAUGAAAACG